rnacentral:rRNA from 1 species
UACUCCUACGGGAGGCAGCAGUGGGGAAUUUUGGACAAUGGGCGAAAGCCUGAUCCAGCAAUGCCGCGUGAGUGAAGAAGGCCUUCGGGUUGUAAAGCUCUUUUGUCAGGGAAGAAACGGUGAGGGCUAAUAUCCCUUGCUAAUGACGGUACCUGAAGAAUAAGCACCGGCUAACUACGUGCCAGCAGCCGCGGUAAUACGUAGGGUGCAAGCGUUAAUCGGAAUUACUGGGCGUAAAGCGUGCGCAGGCGGUUUUGUAAGUCUGAUGUGAAAUCCCCGGGCUCAACCUGGGAAUUGCAUUGGAGACUGCAAGGCUAGAAUCUGGCAGAGGGGGGUAGAAUUCCACGUGUAGCAGUGAAAUGCGUAGAUAUGUGGAGGAACACCGAUGGCGAAGGCAGCCCCCUGGGUCAAGAUUGACGCUCAUGCACGAAAGCGUGGGGAGCAAACAGGAUUAGAUACCCUGGUAGUCCACGCCCUAAACGAUGUCUACUAGUUGUCGGGUCUUAAUUGACUUGGUAACGCAGCUAACGCGUGAAGUAGACCGCCUGGGGAGUACGGUCGCAAGAUUAAAACUCGAAGGAAUUGACGGGGACCCCCACAAGCGGUGGAGCAUGUGGA